UUAACAGACAGACAGAAAGACAGACUAAUGACAGUUAGGUGUUACAAUUUGUAAACUUUCUUAAGGUUUAAUUCCCAUCGGUUGGGAGACAACAGAGGAGGCACCACCUCUUUGGUCAAUGUCAAUCAAAUUAGGCCAUGACACAGAGAUCAUGCAUGGCCCUUGGGUUCGAAGACAGAGAAUUCAUCUCCAACAAUUUUUCUUUCCAAUUGACUAUCAGAAAGCUCCAAUCACAGAGAGGCCAUUACCAGGAACAAAGCGACAAUAUGCUGCGUUUGAUCUUGACGUGGAGGUGACUAACAAGAUGAUGUUGAACGUUCUCUUUUCAAGUCAAGAGCAGG